GGCCUUGUAGCUCAGUUGGCAAAAGCGUUAGUUGAAUGAAAGCCUUCCCCUUACUGGCGUGGGUUCAAAUCCCACCGGGGCCA
rnacentral:tRNA from 1 species